AGAGCCUCCUCUGUCUUUGCCCCCAUCACCUGUUUCUCCCCCACAGACUGAGCCUGAACCCUUCAGUCCUCCUCAGACUCAGUCCUGAGGGCCUCCCAAAAUUAUCACCCCCCACUCCAGGAAGUAGCAGGAUCCGAAGGCAUGUGCGUGUUCACGUCCCUUUCUCCUUAAGAGAUUUAGCCCAACUGGAGAAACGCCUAAGUUCCUUUUCCACUGAUCCCACAACAUAUAUCAAGGAGUUUCAAUGAACCCUCCAGUCAUACAGCCUCACACAUCAUGACAUUUUCAUGCUCCUGGCCAAUACCCUCCUUCCUGAAGAGCGCAGACGAGUUUGGGACUUCGCCCAAACGCACGCCGCCUAAACCCAUAGGACUGAACCCACCUAUCCCCCUGGCCCCACCGCUGUCCCCGAACAAGACCCACACUGAGAUUAUAACACCACCGUGAGUCUCCGCUCUCAAGAUAUCUUCGCCUGCUGCUUAAUAGCAGGUCUGAAAAAGCAGCUCAUAAAUAGUCAAUUUUCAAAAGCUCCCUCCGAGUUCUUAGACAGACUCACCCAAGCCCUAUUACAGUAUACCAGCCUGGACCCAGAAACGCCUGAUAGGAGACAUGUCCUUAUGACAUACUUCCUAGCUCAAAGCUACCCCGACAUUAAAGCUAAACUCAAAAAGUUAGAACAGGGCCCCGCUACCCCACAGACUGAGAUCCUCACAGUGGCCUUUAAAGUCUUCCAUAACCGGGAGGAGGAGAAAGAACGCCGUAAACAAAAGGCUGAUCAGGCCAAUUUCCAAAUGUUGGCCCAGCUGAUAAAACCACAACCUGGGCGCCCCUCUACAAACAAGCCCCCCGCCCCCCAGGAGCUUGUUUCAAGUGCAGAAAAGAAGGGCAUUGGUCAAGGGCGUGCCCCUACCCCAGAUCUCCUAUCACCCCAUGCCCCAGAUGCCACAAGAAGGGCCACUGGAGGUCUGAUUGCCCAGCCACCCGAAGGGGAGGCUGGAUGAACAACCCCCAUCCUAAGCCUGCCGUAGUGGGGCUGGCAGAAGAAGAUUGACGGGGCCCGGGGGCUUCUCACUCGACUAUUUCCAUCACCAAACAGGAGCCCAGGGUUACCUUAAUAGUAGACGGUUGCCCCAUCUCCUUCCUCCUAGAUACAGGAGCCACCUUCUCAGUCUUGCGGGAAUACCGGGGCCCUACCACGCCUGCCAUUACUCCUAUAGUCGGGCUUUUACUCAGGAGCUACCAGCUUUUAGCCACAGAAGAUCCCUCACCCUCAUGUAACCUCCCCACCACACGCUGAGAUGGACCCCUCUCUCCGCUGGAAACUGUUCCUGGAGACAAUGGCCGCAGACGCCUGACUUCUGACACCCGUAUCCUCUUGGCACCAUUGGCAUCAACAAGUCCUCGACCUAUAGUUACAAGAAACCUUCUAGAAGUGGACUAUGAAGAAGUCCACAUCUACUCGUCCUUACUGUGGGGAGUCCUGUCAACCCUUUCCCCCCAAUCCUCAAGCCCUCACUCCCUUCUCCGCCCCCGUUCAGCAGGAAGCAGUCAGAAAGAAAGCAACGUCCACAACCCCAUAGAGGAGAAAGGGAGGAAUGAAGGGCCCCCACCAGUAAGAUGGCGAACUUCCGGCUUCUCUUCCGGGUCCUCAGUUCCCAAUGGCGCCACCUAAAGACCAAUCACCUCUCUCCCCACUCCCACUCCCAGCACCUAGCCAAUAGCCACCAGCCCCGUAGAAGUAACACCACAAUCACCCCAUGCCCCUUCCUAUAUAACCCAGCACCUUUCCCCAAUAAAGCGGAAUUCUCUGGUGAA